rnacentral:tRNA from 1 species
GGGGGCAUAGCUCGGUUGGUAGAGCACCUGCUUUGCAAGCAGGGGGUCAUCGGUGCGAUCCCGUUUGCCUCCA